GGGUGAUUAGCUCAGUGGUAGAGCGCUUCGUUCACAUCGAAGAUGUCGGGGGUUCGAAUCCCUCAUCACCCACCA
rnacentral:tRNA from 1 species